rnacentral:misc_RNA from 1 species
GUUAAAUCAAAAUAACUCGUGUCUUGUCCAGCAAAGGAAACCCAACUGAUUCAAAAGCAACAAAUAAAGAUUUUAAAAUUCUUUGAUACCUCUAUAAAACUAAUCCAGCACAUGAAUGUAAUAACACAACAGUGCAAUUCAUUAAGUUCAAAGUAAUUAUAAUAUACAUGAGAGAGGGAGAGUGAUGGAUGUUCUGUUGAAAGUGAUAAAAAAACACAAAAAUGACCAAUAACUCGGGCAAUCAAAGAAUCUUGUGAAAAUUUUCCUUUAUGCUUUUGCCUUUUAUCCCUCUUUUUAUCUUAUGGGGUGACAUUGAUCAGAGAUGCGCUUUGGGGGCAGCUUCCGCAAGAUGAAGAGCACCAGAGAAGAUGGUAAAAGCUCCACCAUCUGCAUAUAUUUACAAGGAAAAAAGGAAAAACAAGGAGAUGAAAGAAUAGAAAUGAUCAAAAUCUACAAGGACAAAAGUCUUGAGCUCAGAAUCAUUUAUCUGUUCAAAAUGGAAAGUUUCUCCCAAUAAUUCUUGAAUUUGAUGUUAAUCCAACAGGGCAUUUUCCAAGAAAAUCCUACUGGAAGUGUCCUAUUAGUUGUCUCACAAAUAGAUGCAUCUCUGCAGAACCUUGAUGAUACUAGUUCUUUUUUCUUUUUUAAAUUAAGAAACAUAUCAGCUGCAAGCUGCAGCCUGAAAUUAUGAAAAAUACUAUUUUUUGAGACAAAAAGGUCAAGGAAUCAUGUUUCUUCCCUAUGCAAGAACAAGAUACCUGAAAAUGGAGCAAGUGAGAUAACCCAAAUAAUAGUUAUAACAGUUGAACAUUUGCCAUUAGAGCUUGUUGUGAUGAUCAUUAGUCUAACUUGAUGUCAUUUUAUACAUUUAUCUUGAAUCUUGGUGUUCAGGUUGAUAUGAGCAUUGUCAAAAGUACAAGUUUAAGCAAACAGGAAUUUCUGCUGCCACUUCUUGUUUAUUUUGGUACAGGCAAGGAAGUAAAAAAUGCAAACACAAAGACUCCACUUACUUUAGGGGGCUGAAAGUUACCAUGUAAUAGAUAAGAUUGAGAAGGGGAUGAUAGAGGACAUCAAGAUCAGCUUUCUUGUCAAAUGCUGAGAUGGCAACCUAAAGCAUUUACAUACACAUAAAAUGUCUUCAUCAAAGAUGCAAGACUUUGAAGGUAAACUUCCAAUCAAAUGAAACUCACCAUGAAACAUCUAAUCAAAAAACAAGUACAGCAAAUUCCUGUCACACAACCAACCUCAUAAAGCUUCUUUUGACGACCUCUAGAUUCAAUGGGGAAUCGCCUUAGCAUGACAAACAACCUAAAAAGCAGAAAACAAAUCUAGUAAGCAUAUGCAUCACCUUAUGGAAUAUUGAAACUUCUUUAGUUUUGACAUCAACUGUUACCUCCCACCAUAUAACAAGAAUCCCACAGCAGUACAAAACGAAAUAACUGAAAAGAAGGAAUUUGCCAGUUCCUCCCCAGCAGGACUUCCACUAAAUCUUAUGUAUAGCCAGAUGCAUGCCUGUGUGAAGUAUACAAAUCCAUUGAUAAUAUAAUAAGCAGGCCUGAGGAUAUCAAUGGGAAGGCUUCUUGCCUGGUGAUAUAUCUCAGCCCAAAACAGAAUUAGUAAUGUAUAUGUCGAAAAGAAUAGAAGACUGGGAAGAUCCAAAAGCACAAUUGCAAGGGCCUUUGGUCUAAUAAGAAACACGUCCUUGUAUAGAACAAAAAGGAUAGCCCUCAGUCCAUUCACAACAAAAUUCAUCAAGUGGAAAACCUUUUGCGUUGUCCAUCCAUAUUCUGAUAGUCUCCAUUGGAUACGAAAAAGUUGUACCAGGGCAAUAAUGGAGAUCAAGGCAUAAGAUGCAGACAAGAAAUAGAAAAUGCCUCUUUGCCAUUCUUCUGAGUCAUCGAUCUCAUCCCACCAAUGGACUCCAUUUCCACUGUAAUAAUCCCAUCUCUCUCCAAUCUCAAAAAUUUUAGCUCUCAAACUCCAUUCCAUUGAUCACUAAUUGCUCUUAGCACAAUCUUUGCUGUGAGCUUUGGUUGCAAGGAGAUUACCGUGUUGCCAUUUGCAAAUUCUUGCCUUCAGUCUUUUUUUUCCCUCCCUUUUCUGUCCUUUUCCUUUCCCCCAAACAACCUUUUUAGACACCCCUUUUGCCUUGC